AACAUAGAAGUAAAUUAUACACUUAGUUUCGACCUAAAUUAAAGGGAAUUAAACCCUCAUGUUU
rnacentral:tRNA from 1 species